GGAAAAUUGAGCUGCACUGGGUUUGGCAGGAUUUGGUAGCUGUUUCUCGUCAGCCACUGUAACAAGAAAUAACCAAGCCAUAUUCUAAGUGGAGUUGCCAGUCACAUGCUUCUAAAAGGCAAACACAUGGACUACGGGAGUGUCCUGUCUGGGGACCAAACAAGAGAUACUAUACAGGAAUAACAGGAAAGGAAACUGUGAAGCAGAACAAAGACCCAGAAUCGGAGGCAGCUCAAUUCAAGAUACCUGCUGUGCUGUAGCCUUACUUCCUCCAUGUUGUCAAAAUAAAACAGAAUUACCUCAAA